rnacentral:rRNA from 1 species
AGCAGCCGCAGUAAUUCCAGCUCCAAUAGCGUAUAUUAAAGUUGUUGCAGUUAAAAAGCUCGUAGUUGAAUUUCGGGAUCAAAUUGUCGGUCGUGCCUCGGUACGCACUGGCGUUAUUGGUUCCUCCCUUCUGAAGAACCGCGAUGUCAUUAAUUUGGUGUCGCGGGGAAUCAGGACUGUUACUUUGAAAAAUUAGAGUGUUUAAAGCAAGCUCGCGCUUGAAUACAUUAGCAUGGAAUAAUGAAAUAGGACGUUUGAUUCUAUUUUGUUGGUUUCUAGGAUCGACGUAAUGAUUAAUAGGGAUAGUUGGGGGCAUUAGUAUUCAAUUGUCAGAGGUGAAAUUCUUGGAUUUAUUGAAGACUAACUACUGCGAAAGCAUUU